rnacentral:rRNA from 1 species
AUUGAACGCUGGCGGCAGGCUUAACACAUGCAAGUCGAGCGGGGUGAUGGUGCUUGCACUAUCACUUAGCGGCGGACGGGUGAGUAAUGCUUAGGAAUCUGCCUAUUAGUGGGGGACAACAUCUCGAAAGGGAUGCUAAUACCGCAUACGUCCUACGGGAGAGAGCAGGGGAUCACUUGUGACCUUGCGCUAAUAGAUGAGCCUAAGUCGGAUUAGCUAGUUGGUGGGGUAAAGGCCUACCAAGGCGACGAUCUGUAGCGGGUCUGAGAGGAUGAUCCGCCACACUGGGACUGAGAAACGGCCCAGACUCCUACGGGAGGCAGCAGUGGGGAAUAUUGGACAAUGGGGGGAACCCUGAUCUAGCCAUGCCGCGUGUGUGAAGAAGGCCUUAUGGUUGUAAAGCACUUUAAGCGAGGAGGAGGCUCUUUUGGUUAAUACCCAAGAUGAGUGGACGUUACUCGCAGAAUAAGCACCGGCUAACUCUGUGCCAGCCGCCGCAGUAA